rnacentral:piRNA from 1 species
AAGAACAGAUACUACACUUGAUC